GACGAACGCUAGCGGCGCGCUUAACACAUGCAAGUCGAACGCCAACGGUUGACUUCGGUUGGCUUAGUAGCGUGGCGAACGGGUGAGUAUCGCGUAGGCAACCUGCCCUUUAGUGGGGAAUAAGCCCGGGAAACCGGGUACAAUACCGCAUGUUGUCCCGAGAACAGAUGUUUUUGGGAUUAAAGCCUUCGGGCGCUAAGGGAUGGGCCUGCGUUCUAUUAGCUUGUUGGUGAGGUAACGGCUCACCAAGGCGACGAUGGAUAGCUGGUCUGAGAGGACGAUCAGCCACACUGGGACUGAGAUACGGCCCAGACUCCUACGGGAGGCAGCAGUGAGGAAUAUUGCGCAAUGGACGAAAGUCUGACGCAGCGACGCCGCGUGUGCGACGAAGCCCUUCGGGGUGUAAAGCACUGUCCAGAGGGAAGAAUGCCCGUUUCGGCGGGAGCGACGGUACCUCUGUAGAAAGCUCCGGCUAACUCCGUGCCAGCAGCCGCGGUAAUACGGGGGGAGCAAGCGUUGUCCGGAUUUACUGGGCGUAAAGGGCGUGUAGGCGGAAUGGUCAGUCGAUGGUGAAAUCUCCGGGCUUAACCCGGAGCUUGCCUUCGAUACUGCCAUUCUUGAGUGCAGGAGAGGGUAGUGGAAUUCCCGGUGUAGCGGUGGAAUGUGCAGAUAUCGGGAGGAACACCUGUUGCGAAGGCGGCUGCCUGGCCUGACACUGACGCUGAGGCGCGAAAGCGUGGGUAGCAAACAGGAUUAGAUACCCUGGUAGUCCACGCCGUAAACGAUGGGUACUAGGUGUCGGAGGAUUUCGACCCCUCCGGUGCCGCAGUUAACGCAUUAAGUACCCCGCCUGGGGAGUACGAUCGCAAGGUUG
rnacentral:rRNA from 1 species